UACGGAGGAUGCGAGCGUUAUCCGGAUUUAUUGGGUUUAAAGGGUGCGUAGGCGGACGCUUAAGUCAGCGGUAAAAUUGCGGGGCUCAACCUCGUCGAGCCGUUGAAACUGGGUGCCUUGAGUGGGCGAGAAGUACGCGGAAUGCGUGGUGUAGCGGUGAAAUGCAUAGAUAUCACGCAGAACUCCGAUUGCGAAGGCAGCGUACCGGCGCCCAACUGGCGCUGAAGCACGAAGGCGUGGGUAUCGAACAGG
rnacentral:rRNA from 1 species